GUCGUCAGCUCGUGUCGUGAGAUGUUGGGUUAAGUCCCGCAACGAGCGCAACCCUUUUCCUUACUUGCCAGCAUUUCGGAUGGGAACUUUAAGGAUACUGCCAGUGACAAACUGGAGGAAGGCGGGGACGACGUCAAGUCAUCAUGGCCCUUACGGCCAGGGCUACACACGUGCUACAAUGGUCGGUACAAAGGGUUGCUACACAGCGAUGUGAUGCUAAUCUCAAAAAGCCGAUCGUAGUCCGGAUUGGAGUCUGCAACUCGACUCCAUGAAGUCGGAAUCGCUAGUAAUCGCGGAUCAGAAUGCCGCGGUGAAUACGUUCCCGGG
rnacentral:rRNA from 1 species